rnacentral:rRNA from 1 species
GAUGAACGCUGGCGGCGUGCUUAACACAUGCAAGUCGAACGAGAAGUGAAGACGGAAACCUUCGGGCGGAAGGCUUUAUUUCGAGUGGCGGACGGGUGAGUAACGCGUGGGUAACCUGCCUCAUACAGGGGGAUAACAGUUGGAAACGACUGUUAAUACCGCAUAAGACCACAGCACCGCAUGGUGCGGGGGUAAAAACUCCGGUGGUAUGAGAUGGACCCGCGUUCGAUUAGCCAGUUGGCGGGGUAACGGCCCACCAAAGCGACGAUCGAUAGCCGAUCUGAGAGGAUGACCGGAGACAUCGGGAGUGAGACACGGUCCAAACUCCUACGGGAGGCAGCAGUGGGGAAUAUUGCACAAUGGGGUAAACCCUGAUGCAGCGACGCCGCGUGAGUGAAGAAGUAUUUCGGUAUGUAAAGCUCUAUCAGCAGGGAAGAAAAUGACGGUACCUGAGUAAGAAGCCCCGGCUAACUACGUG